UGAUGUCUGGAACACAACAGGACAAAGGGUCACCUCCCAAACGCAUGAGUUCCUGUGGGGAAGAGAUCCCUACCCCCGGCCUGACUCCCCAGCAUGGGGCCCCACGCUUCAUCAGUGUUUUUUAAGAAAUGAUUAGACUCUUGAGCUCUACUGCAGAGGCUGGGCUGCAGCUGGAGCAAGCCGUUCCUGAAGCCCACUCAUUCAGCUCUGCUCUUCUCUGCCCUCUGGCUGGCAGCCCAGAUUUGAGCACAGCAGGGAGUGCUGAGAUGUGGGGUGGGCGGCAUCUCAGCAUCUUCCCCCCAGUCCUGGAAGGGCAAACUGGAGCAUAGACUCCAGGGGUCCUGGAGACCCAGCUCCUCUCUCUCCAGUUUGUUCACUUCUUAUUUCCCACCUUUAUAUCUUUUCCCUUCUCUUUUCCGUGCCCUUGAUAAGAGUCCUAAGGCCAAAGGCAGAGACCCCAACCGCCACUCACAUCUCCCAUGGGCACUGGGCUAUGCCUCACCAUCUCCAUGCCCCACCCCCCACCCCCCACCCCAGGCCCCUGUACCAUCACAAUUCUCCAAGCGGUUGGUGAAGAUGUCCCCAGAUAAAGAAGUGAACCCCGGAGAGCAGCGACAGGCCGUGGCGUUGACACAUCUGGAGUUCAGGGGGCACCAGCGAGCACAGUCUGUGGGGAUGGUGACCACAGUUGGAAGGUGAGGAAACAGGUCCAGAGAGUCCAGAGUCCCACGGGAGCUGGAGAGGCCCGAAGGGGCCCUUCAUGGGUGCUAGGCCGGCACCAAGAAGAGAAACGGCAGAGCCUCGGGGCCUCCAUGCUUCCAGAGCUGGCCUUUCUGGGCCAGCGCUUACCUUGGUGGGAAACUUGUAUUUCAGGGGCUUCUGGGCAGCAACAGGGAAUCACAAGAUAGAAGAGUUGUUUUCUUUCCUAAUAAGUCACAUGACUGGCUUGUC